rnacentral:rRNA from 1 species
GAUGAACGCUGGCGGCGUGCCUAAUACAUGCAAGUCGAGCGAACAGAUAAGGAGCUUGCUCCUUUGACGUUAGCGGCGGACGGGUGAGUAACACGUGGGUAACCUACCUAUAAGACUGGGAUAACUUCGGGAAACCGGAGCUAAUACCGGAUAAUAUUUUGAACCGCAUGGUUCGAUAGUGAAAGAUGGUUUUGCUAUCACUUAUAGAUGGACCCGCGCCGUAUUAGCUAGUUGGUAAGGUAACGGCUUACCAAGGCGACGAUACGUAGCCGACCUGAGAGGGUGAUCGGCCACACUGGAACUGAGACACGGUCCAGACUCCUACGGGAGGCAGCAGUAGGGAAUCUUCCGCAAUGGGCGAAAGCCUGACGGAGCAACGCCGCGUGAGUGAUGAAGGUCUUCGGAUCGUAAAACUCUGUUAUUAGGGAAGAACAUACGUGUAAGUAACUGUGCACGUCUUGACGGUACCUAAUCAGAAAGCCACGGCUAACUACGCG